UCCGUGUUGGACCGUGUAUAAGUCUCUUGGAACAGAGCGUCAUAGAGGGUGAGAAUCCCGUCUUUAACAUGGACUACCAAUGCUUUGUGAUGCGCUCUCAAAGAGUCGAGUUGUUUGGGAAUGCAGCUCAAAAUGGGUGGUAAAUUCCAUCUAAAGCUAAAUAUUGGCGAGAGACCGAUAGCGAACAAGUACCGUGAGGGAAAGAUGAAAAGCACUUUGGAAAGAGAGUUAAACAGUACGUGAAAUUGCUGAAAGGGAAACGCUUGAAGUCAGUCGCGUUAGUUAGAACUCAGCCAAGCUUGCUUGGUGCAUUUUCUAGUUUAACGGGCCAGCAUCAGUUUUGGCUGCAGGAUAAAGAUUAGAGAAAUGUGGCAGCCUCGGCUGUGUUAUAGUCUCUGAUUGUAUACUGUGACCAGGACUGAGGAUCUCAGCACGCAUUUGUUGUUGCUUAGGAUGCUGGCGUAAUGGCUUUAAACGACCCGUCUUGAAACACGGACCAAGGAGUCUAACAAACCUGCGAGUAUUUGGGUGAUUAAACCCGAGUGCGUAAUGAAAGUGAAAGUUGGGAUCCCUGUCGUGGGGAGCACCGACGCCCGGACCAGACCUUCUGUGACGGAUCUGCGGUAGAGCAUGUUUGUUGGGACCCGAAAGAUGGUGAACUAUGCCUGAAUAGGGUGAAGCCAGAGGAAA
rnacentral:rRNA from 1 species